rnacentral:rRNA from 1 species
GGAGAAUGGGGCGCAGCCUGAUCCAGCAUGCCGCGUGGGUGAAGAAGGUCUUCGGAUUGUAAAGCCCUUUCGACGGGGACGAUGAUGACGGUACCCGUAGAAGAAGCCCCGGCUAACUUCGUGCCAGCAGCCGCGGUAAUACGAAGGGGGCUAGCGUUGCUCGGAAUGACUGGGCGUAAAGGGCGCGUAGGCGGAUUAUUCAGUCAGGCGUGAAAUUCCUGGGCUCAACCUGGGGACUGCGUUUGAGACGGAUAGUCUGGAGUUCGGAAGAGGGUCGUGGAAUUCCCAGUGUAGAGGUGAAAUUCGUAGAUAUUGGGAAGAACACCGGUGGCGAAGGCGGCGACCUGGUCCGAUACUGACGCUGAGGCGCGAAAGCGUGGGGAGCAAACAGGAUUAGAUACCCUGGUAGUCCACGCUGUAAACGAUGUGUGCUGGAUGUUGGGGGGCCUAGCCUUUCAGUGUCGUAGCUAACGCGAUAAGCACACCGCCUGGGGAGUA